rnacentral:rRNA from 1 species
GUAGGUGGCAAGCGUUGUCCGGAAUUAUUGGGCGUAAAGCGCGCGCAGGCGGUUCUUUAAGUCUGAUGUGAAAGCCCACGGCUCGACCGUGGAGGGUCAUUGGAAACUGGAGAACUUGAGUACAGAAGAGGAAAGCGGAAUUCCACGUGUAGCGGUGAAAUGCGUAGAGAUGUGGAGGAACACCAGUGGCGAAGGCGGCUUUCUGGUCUGUAACUGACGCUGAGGCGCGAAAGCGUGGGGAGCAAACAGGAUUAGAUACCCUGGUAGUCCACGCCGUAAACGAUGAGUGCUAAGUGUUAGGGGGUUUCCGCCCCCCUUGGUGCUGCAGCUAACGCAUUAAGCACUCCGCCUGGGAGUACGGCCGCAGGGCUG